GACAGAGGAUGCAAGCGUUAUCCGGAAUGAUUGGGCGUAAAGCGUCUGUAGGUGGCUUUUUUAAGUCCGCCGUCAAAUCCCAGGGCUCAACCCUGGACAGGCGGUGGAAACUACCAAGCUGGAGUACGGUAGGGGGCAGAGGGAAUUUUCCGGUGGGAGCGGUGAAAUGCGUAGAGAUCGGAAAGAACACCAACGGCGAAAGCACUCUGCUGGGCCGACACUGCACUGAGAGACGAAAAGCUAGG
rnacentral:rRNA from 1 species